CUAACUUAUUAAGUGUGAUAUCUAUUAGUUUUACUUGAAUUAACUCUUUCUCCAUAAGUUUUGUUAAAAUUAUGAAAAUCACUUUUCUCAUGAUAAGUUUACAAAGUUUAUAGUUAAUUGGAGUGUAAAAUGAAAUUUUACAAAUAGGGGUUUUUUGAGAAUAUCUUUGUUAUAUUUACGAUGGCAUUAGUAAUAUUCUAAACCUUAAAAGGGUAUUGAUGAAAUUAUAGUUAGUAGUAGGGCGUUUCAAAAAUUAUCUGUGUUUUUUAAAAUACCUAUAUGGAGCGAGAUUCAAAGUACUUGGUAAUAUUGCUUAAUAAUAAAGACAGAAACACUACAACAGAAUUAGGUUAUAGGGACACAUGUUUGGGACACAUGUUUGGGACACUUUUGAGUAAGUGUCCCAUUUAUCCUAAAGCUUAAAAAAACAUCUAGUAAUGCCUAAAUAUAAAGCCCAAUCCAACCAAAAAUAAAAGAUUACUCUACUCAACCCACCACAUCCAGUCCAUUUGGCCCGAUUACAAAUAGAAAAGAAAAAAGAAAGAAAAAUCAAUUACCAUCUUUUCUUCUCUCUUCACUCAAUCCACUAAAAUUCUAGACGAAGAGCCUUUCCUGUCGUCCUCCUCCGCCACCACAGUCAACGGGAUAGAGUUUCGGCGGUUGCUACAUGCUUAAAUAAGUGUUCGUAAAUUAGCAGCACUCUUUUAGGUUAUAGCGACACUCUUUAACUGUCACUAUAUACCUAGCGACCCCACAUAUAGCAACACUUUUUAAAAGUGUCGGUAAUUUUAGCUAGUAGCACUUUUUUGACAUGUACCUACAUUUAAAAGUGUCGCUAUAGACCGUUUUUGUUGUAGUGAAACGAGCUACUCUAAAUAGUGGUGGUUUUACUUAAACUUCUGAUUCAGUUUAUCUAAUUGUUUAACAUCUUACAGGCCUUUAAUUUUAAAUUUUUAAGUUUUGAUUAGACAAAGAAUUUGUUGAAAAGGAAAAAAACAAGCAUUGGUGGUCAUGUUAACAUAAUUCAACACAUUUUUUAGUUCUUCAAAAAGAUUAAAAGGCUUUCAAAAUCUCCUUUACCUUUUUUUGUUUUUUUUUUUUCUUACACUUCUAGUUAAAGCUAUAGAAAGUGUAAACAUGGUAUAUAUAUAUGUAGACCUUUAAAAAAUUAACUUCAAAAGUUUAAAUUCUUUUAUAUGACCAUGGAAAAAUAAAUUGUUACACAUAUACAUUGCAAAAUCUCUAUCUAGUUUCUCCUAUGUGGUUUGUAACUCUUAAGCUCUAACAACAAUGGUCCUAUGUGAAAAUAUAUUUUUAUACAAAAGCACCUAACCACAAUUAAUUGAGUCUAAAGGACCAUGAUUAGAAUAUGCUACACUAUAUUUUAUACAAUACUUUUGACUAUAAGUCAUCUUUAUUUAAAAACUUUGCACAAAAAAAAAGAAUUUCUAUUGCAAAUGAUAUAGUGACAUAAGAUUAUCUCAAAAGAAAAAAUUUUAAUUUAGAGCUUUCAAUUCGUUUAAUACAAAGAAUAGCUACUGGAGCGAAUUUUACCAUAACACUUCUACUAAGAAUAUUACUCGAGUGGCCUUAUAUGAUAUAGCAUUACACUUUACAGCAGAACCAAAUGAGCCCUAAUUCAACAAUAGAGGUGAAUAAAUAAGGGUCAAAUGGUCAACAUAAACAUAUUUUUCAAGCAAGGACAAUUGCAAAGCACUAUGGUUUGGAACAAAAAUUUUUUGAAUAAUUUGGACCCUUGUUGGAAGGAACAAAAGAGAAGGAUAUGAAAGAGACCCACUACCAACUUGAUACUAUUGGUUUUGGAAGGAUCAUAAAAUAUAAAGAGGACCCAUACACACCAUACACACACAAAGAAAAGAGUGGGGCUCAAAAGAAUGGUUUUGAGUGGGAAUCUACUAAUUAUCAAUGCAAUGGGGUAUUGAUUGAGAUAGGAAAGCAAUUUCCAAGCAACCUCUUUCAAUUCAAAAGCAUCUUCUUCUUUGGUCUCUAUAGCACUCUCCCUUAUCUUCCAAACAUGCACAUUGAGAAGCUUUGAACAAAUUAAUGUUGUACAAAUUGUGACCUUGGGUGGAGGAUUCUCAUUGGCCUUUUCUUUUCUUGAAUAUUGUAAUGUUGUACUAUUCAUUUCCAUUUUAUACAAACAAAAAAAAAAAAAAAUUAUGAUUAACUAAUAAUGGAUGAUUACUAAGUAGGGACAAAAGGAUUAAGUGGAAUAGCAUGGAGGUUUCAUUAGGUAUAAGGUCAUAUGUUUUGAUAAAUUGUAUAAGGUCUGCGGUAGCAAUAAAAUACUGUAAGUACGAGAAAAAAGUCCAACUUAGAAUCAAUGAGCACGAGCCUAUCCGUGUUUUACAUCCCUGCUCUUAAUAUAUAUUUCUGAGUCUGUUUCCCACUAGAUCGAUCUUUUGGAUAAUAUGAUAUAUAGUAGAGUUAGUUUAAAAUUCCUUUGUUCUGUGAACACAUAAUUAAAGCACUGUUAGACUUGCAAAACUCUAAAAUCGGUCGAUCUCUCCUCCGUCUGUCGCAUGUGUGUAUGUAAAUAGUACGUGGGUAACGAUUUUUUCUUGACCAGUUAUUUUUCAUUUUUUUUUUCAUAUUGUUGGAAAGAAAAAUUGUAAGAAUUAGCAUUAGAUAAAAACGGCAAAACUACAUCAAAGUUGGGCUCAGAGAACCAUCUAAAAGUAAAAGAAUAAUAAUUCAUAGAAACCUUUGCUAAGUUAUGAACAAUACAGUUUCCCCUGUAACUAGUAUAAACAUACAAGGAAUUGAUUAAUUUUGGCUAUGGGCUUUUAUGUUGGGAUAAAACAUGUGGGUUUGUUGUGUUGGGCCAUGAUAUAUAUCAAGGGUAAUGUUUUUUCUUAUUCUUUUAUGGUUUUCUUUUUUUUUCCCUUUUUUUAAAAAAGUGGAAUUCAUGUAAAUUUAAAUAUUUUUGGAGUUACCAAUUUAUCACAUGUAAAAAAAAAAAAAAAAAAGGUCUUUGGUUUAUUAUUAUUAUUACUUUACGGACGAAACAAUUUGGUAAGCACCAGAAUACCGCAAUGAAUACAAAAAAAAAAAUUCAAUACGAAAAAAAAAAAGAAGAAAUACAAAGAAAAAGAAAAGAUAUUGAUGUGUCCAUAUGUUAUAGACAGGUUUUUUUUUUUUUCUUUUUCCUUAAAAAAAAUUUGUAAACUUCACCUAUGCAUGAUAUGGUCCAAAUGUCUAAUCUGUGAUUGUUACAACUUUUAUUAUUUAAAAGAAUUAAUUUGAUUAAUCCAUACCUGUGCUUAUAAUUUUAUGAUGUUACUGACCUCUUUCUAACUGAUGAAAAUGGAUUGUUAAUUUAAAUCCAAUUAUAUAAUUGACUGGAAAUCCAAUUAUAUAAAAUUUAAAUAUUUAUUAUUUUAUAAUUAUUUUUAUAAAUUUUAAAUUUUUUAAUCAAGAUACUAAUUUAAAUAGAAAUAAUUUAUUAUUUAUACUUUAAAUUUUAUAUAUUUUUUAAAAAAAUUUAAAACUUUACCGACACUGCACGUCCCGUGCCUUCCGGGCCUAAGGGCCAUGCUGGACCAGAGGCUUGGUAGCUCCAGCCCGGCACGGCCCGGUUCUCGGAUUUGGAACCGGGCUUGGCCUGGCUAAUGUCAGUCGUGUCUGCUCAGCACGGCCCACAUUACACCCCUACUCCAGUCCCAACCCACCAGAAUGAAGCGAUAAGUGGGGGAAAAAUUAUAAGAUAAAAACUGACCGGUCUCAAAUCCGUUCUGACUUGCCAAGAAAACUAGCCAGGACCCAGGAUCCAUUCUGACCGGCCAAAAACUAACUACCCUGAAGUUUUGGAAAUAACUAAAAAUUGGGACAACAAAAAAUGGUACAUUAAUUUUAUAUUUGAUAAAUGGUUUAAUUAUAUAUGAUGGAUUAAUGUAGAAUUUAACUUAAGUAACUUUAGUUUGAAAAGUUCCAUUUAAUUUUUACAUCAACAACAUCUUGGACUAUGCUCAACCCAAAAAGAGGGCAUGGGCUGGUGAAGGCCUAUACUUGAGGGGGUUUCACACAUUUUUCAAAUUUUUAUAUUCCUAAUUAAAGAUUCUAGCAUGGGUAAGUGCAAUAUAAUUAAGAAGAUUACAUCAUCAUACUUAAUUUUUUUUUUAUAAAAAAAAUUGUUUUUUGUUCACUAAACAUGUGGGAGAAAGCAAGUAUGUUCUAUAAUUUUGCGACCUUUUUUCCCGUCAUUCAGAUUAAUCUAAAAUUCAUCUAUUGUUAAUUAAAGACAAGGACCGAAAUUAAGAAUAUUCUGGACUCGAAUUCAGAACCUUCUACUACUUUAAUUUUAUGUAAAAUAAUUAAUCAUACCUAAAACUUAAGUUAUUUAUUAGAAAUAAUAUUUUAAUAUUGGAAAAAUCACAAUUAGCCUUCUAUUGUUUAGCACAUAAUUAUUGCUUCACCACCUUGGGAUACGAAAAGUGUUACUUCGCUGCCACACAUUUUAUUUUUAUUUCAUCAUAAAAACUUUGUCAUUAAAAUUGCAGCAAAAUGAUACAAUUUACAAACCAAAUGAUAGGAAACUAAAAUUAUAAACUAUUAAUGUGAUAUAUUUUACCACAUAUGGUUACAUUAUUUUACUAUCCAAAUUAACAACAGAUCGUUACACUAAAAGUGACAUUUUUUGAACUGCGAUGUGACAAAGUUAAAUAUGCUAAACAACAUGGAGGCUAAGGAUUUUUUUUUUCCCUCUUGAAUAUUUUAUGUCCAACAAGGUUUAUAUAUGCAUAACAACCAAGAUUUGAUAGGUCAAUUAUGAAAAAAAAAAAAACAUUUGUCAAAGGCCACAAAAUUGAAAAACAAAAUGUGGUUUAACCUAGAGAGUUGACUUUGUUGUUGACAAGGUGAGUUGACCCCAACCACUCCAACCAAGUUGUGAUAGAGAAGUUUCAAUUUUCAACUGAAAAUGUAUUAAUUGAAAACCUAAUCUCUUAGACUUGUUCUUGAAAUUUUCAAUUGGUCUCCUCUAAUUUAUUGCUUUAUAUAAAUAUAAAUUCUUCUUUCAAAAGUUGGCUCCAUUUCCACAAAUAUAAAAACAAAUUGCUAAGUAUACUUAAAUUAAUUCAUUUAUUGAGUAUUGCAAAUCUUAUGUCAUGUUACUCGGGAUCUAUUUGACUUUGCUGUAGAGUGUAGUAUUCCCAGGUUAUUUCGAUAUAAUUAUUAUAUUACAGAAAAGACGAUAAAUUUUUUUAUAUAUGAAAUAUUGUACUGGUGAACAAAAUAACUGGGAUCAAACAAAAUCUUAGUAUAUAAUUGGCCUGGUUUAUGAGGAGGUAGCUUCUGCACUUCAAGAAGUAGUAGCUGAGCUGUUUGCCAAACAAAAAAUUAAGAAACUUUAUUAAAAGAUUUUUCAUUUCUCUCCUAAUUUAUGUAGCACAAGAUAAAUUUGUGAGGUUAAAAAGAAAAGGGAAAAAAAAUAUAUUAGUGGCUACCUAAGUAGAUUGGUGGAGCUUGGCCUAAAUUUGUUUGGUCUAAUUUGAGCCUACAAUUUGGUUUGUAUCUCUUAUACCAUUUUAUUCUAAUAAUAAAGGUCCACUAGGGCUCUACCAAACAACCUUAUAUAUAUAAUAAUAUCCUUAUAAAAAAAGGUAAAAAUAAAAACAAAUAAAUAUUAAAUAAUAAUAAUAAUAAUAAUAAUAAUAAUAAUAAUAAUAAUAAAUAAAAAAUUGUGCCCAAGGAUAUUAAUAUGCUUACUCAAUGGUUUAAUUGUUAGCAUACAAUAAUUGUGAUAUGCCUAACUCAAUUAUGUUAGCUUAGACUUAUUGUAAUAAAAUUUGUUCUAAGACAUGUUUAAAGUGUAAUUAAUCACGAGAUUUGCGCUCGACGUCGAAGUAAAAUUUUCGACGAAAAUUGAUACAUCUCUUCUUAUAGUUCUUCGAAAAGGAUCUAACUGCGAAUUUGGUUAGUUUUUUUGAAUUUGGUAAUUUUGCGAAAUCUAUUAGUAGGAUUUUGGCCAAAAAUCCACCCAAAAUUUGGGUACUAUAGCUUGAAAGGGUAAGGGAAAAUUCUAUAACCACUUAGUUAUUCAAAACACUAAAGUUAGAAGAUAAUAGAAAUUAGCACAAAGAUACUUCUAAAUCUCAAUUAAUAUAUAGAGUAGGGCUACUAUACUCUUAUGAGUAUAGAGCUCUUUGUACUCAUAAGUUGUUUUCGAUGUUAGGGUUUUCAAAUCGAUGAUCCACACCGCUAAACAGGAUCUAGAGUAUUUGAAACUUCUAGAAAAUAAAUUUCGUAAUUUUUUGAAAUCAUUAUAAAGUCCAUCAAGCAGGUAUAAAAUGAACGGUUAAAAUCAAACUACAUCCUAAAAAUGGAUGAUCGGAUCUUUCAAUUUAAGAUCGGAGUUAUUGAUCUUUAUUUAGGUAGUGAAUAGAAUUUUUGAUCAAAAAUUCAACUUAUUCCGAUUCUUUUUUACCGUUAAACUAGCAAAUAUCUCAUACCGGCCGUUAAAAAUUAUAAUUAUUUUAGCUUUUGAUCAUAAGAUAAAUGAUAUCAAAAAAUUAUAAAAUUUGAUUUCUAAAUAUUUUAAACGCUCUAGAUAAUGUUUAAUGGUAUGGAUCGUCGAUUUGAAAACUCUAUCAUCGAAAAAAACUUAUGAGUAUGAAGGCGAUUGUACUCAUAAGAGUAUAGUAGCCGGACUCUAAUAUAUAUAUAUAUAUGAGUAGGGCUAUUGUGCUAUUAGGAGCACAGCAGCCCUUAUGCUCCUAAGCUUUGUUACUUAUUCCAAGUAUACAUGCAUGAUUCAUUUGGGAGUGGUUUUUCACUACUCUUUUGACAUUGUAAAAUAUUGUAGAAUUUGAUCACUCACCUUGCUUGGUAAACUACUUGUAUUUGCCAAGUGUGAUUAACCUAAACCUCUAAUUAUCUUAAUACUAAUGUAAUGAAUCUGAGAACUCGUCGACAAUCACGCGUGCUUUGCCUAAUUCUUUCGUUUAGAGUCGGAUAACAAACCACGUUUCGAAGAUUAUAUAGUUCAAUCAAUUUCCAUGAAAUCAUAAAUCUCCAUCAUUUACCUUCAUAGUUAUUGAGUGGAAAUCCAAUUAGAUCUUAUCUCCAAAGUGAUAGCAACUCAAAUAUAGGCCAAAAUCAAUUGAAAUAACAUAUCUUAAGUGAAAGUGGCUGCUCAUUAUUCGUCGACAUCGAACAAUCUCGUAGAAAUUGACAAGUUGAUCACACUUACCUAGUUGCUUGGUAAACUUAUCUUUGCAAAGUGGCAUUGACCUUAAUUGCAUCUAAUUAUCUUAAUAAUUUAAGGACUCUUCGAUAAACACGCGUUAGUUUCACAUAGGGCAUAUGUAUAUGUGCUUGGAUCGACGAAAUUUAAUUGUCGGUGAAACUCAAGUGCAGUGAAGUUUAAGUUUCUUUAAACUUAAUUAGCAUUCCUUUUAUUUGUUUGUUUUAGUGAAAUUCGAUUGUUUGAAGUGAGGUUUCACUAUUUCUAUUAUUUGUUUUGUUGAAACUUAAGUAUGUCCUAAGUCAUAUUUUAGCAUUUUUGCUAUGUUUUUCAAUAUAAUUAAGUCCACCUAGUCUUAAAUUAAAUUUCCAAAAUAUAUGUUUUCGCACUUACGCCAAAACAAACAGUAGAAGGAAUCACUUAUACCAUAACUCUAUUAAUUUCUCACCCUUGAGUCACUCCAAUCCAAACAUAUACACCAUUAAUUAGAGUUGGAUACUUGGAUGGUUACAGAAAAUCAAAAAUAAUUGACAAUAGAGCUCAAGAUUUAUUUUAUGAAAAUUUAAUGGAUAAAAUCUCUAUCUUGUCAAAUAUAUUCUUAGAUCAGUUUUCUACUAUAUCAAUCUUAAUUUUAGAUAAUAUAGUAUCAUAACUAAUUCUAAAACCCCUUCAUUUCAUGAGGUUGUGAUCGAGCGAGUUUGAUCCUUAUCUUCGUAUAUAAAUAUUCACGAGACCAUUUCCUACCAUUUCCUCGUGCAUUUUGAGUGGAAACCCAAAUGUUCCUAACUCCAAAAGUAAUAGCACUACAACAAAAUAUGUUUUAGACAAUGCGUCUUCAAUAUUUAAUAUGUACUGACAUCAUGAUUAAGCGUCGCCAAUAAACAUAUUUUUAUCAAAUACUGAUAAAAAUUCUUCGAGGCUAUAUUAAAACGUCGGUAUAUUUAUUUUCGACAUGUUUACUUAACGACUCCUUACUUAGACAUUUUUAUGAGUGUCGGAGUUAUUCUUGUCGACGUUUUAAAUCGUCGCUAGUUAUUGUUUAAAAUGUCCUUAAAUACAAGAUUUGUUUAGUGUAGCAAUUAACUAACUCAAAAAUCAAAAAUAGGUCAAAAUCAAUUGAAAUAACAUAUCCCAAUUCCAAAAAAUGGACCAACAAAUACCAAAGUGUUUCAACAAGUGAUGGAGGGAGGUGUUGAGAUGAGGCACUAACUCAAAAGUGGGAUCCAAAAGUUGCCUUGGCAUUGGAGAGGAGUAGUCGGCAAUGGGUCCCUCCUAGCGCCGACUUUAGCACUAAGGUGGUCGGUGUUGGUGCACAUGCACAAACCAAUUUGUGUCCAGUACAAUGUGGACACAAGUGCCUAAUCAAAAACACAACAUAGUUGACCUAAUAUGAGCACUUGGUGGAGAAUUUUGAUGGUGGAAAUUUUAGGGCUAGUCAAAAGGUGGUAUAAUACUUCGGUUUACUUUCUUAAAUAAUGUGAAAAUAGGCCUAUGAAUUAAAAAAGAAAAAAAAAUUAAAUGAGACUUUGAUACCUUAUUAAAUAACAUGAAAAUUUGUUUAUCUCAGUAAGUUUUAUGUGAAAUCCUCACCUCAUUUAUUCGGGUUGUGGAUUAAAAUAAGUCUUCAAAUUGAAAAACAUAUAUAUCUCCUUUUUGUUACUCAAAGAUAUAUAUAUUUUUAUCUGCAACACCUUGCUUCAAACUCGCUCAACUUUCUUAACAUCUUAGGUAUAGCCACCGCCCAAAAUAUCAUAAACGGAUUAAGAGUUUUAGCCCUAUUAUAUCUUAUAUAAAAGAUUAUUUAUCUUUUAAAAAAAGUAUUAGAUGGACCUAGUCGGACUUGAUCUGCUCUGAUAUCAUGUAAAAUAAUUGAGAUUUUCAUGACGAGCUAUUUUAUAUAAUGUUGGGUGUGAAUUUUUUUCUAAAUUUUCUUGCCAUUUGGUGUAGAGCUUACUAUUCAAAUCAUUAUAUUUUUCUAUCAAUUUACUCCUUAAUAGUAGUAGUUGAACAAUGAAUAAUAUCAUUUUAGGUCACAUUAGUAGUAGUUGAACACUUUUUGGCCUUAAAUGUUCUCAUACUAAUCAAUUAAGAGAAAAAUCAAAUGCUUGACUAUGUAUUGCUAUAAAGGAUUAGGCACUAAGCGAAUCGCGUGCGAAUAAAAUAUAAUUUAUUUAGUGGAAAAUUGGUGAGAUCAUCUUAAAUUAGUGAUCAUAAAUGUAGAACAAUAGCAUUGACAUUUCCUUUAAAUAUAUAUAUAUAUAGAUAUAUGCACAAUGGAAUUGUAAGGCUAACUUAUAUAUGCUAUCACCUAAUUAUAAGGAAUCAAAGUGAGUUUGCUUCAUGUAUAGUUGUUAUUACUAGUUGAAGUAAUGUAGGAGAUUGAAAUACACAUUAUCACCUAAUAUUCCAUUUAUGGUGCCAAAGGAAUCUCUACUAAUUAAGAACAUUAGAGCUACCAAAUAGAUGAUUUAAUCAAAACACUUUCUAUUGAAAACUAACAUAAGUUAAAGGAGAAUUUUGUUUUUAUAUAGGCUCCGUUUGAAAUUGCAGAAAGAUCGCGUUACGUGAUCGAGGUGAAAAAAUACCAUGAGCAAAUAAUCUAUUUAUUUUCGCACGUGAUAUCCUGUUUUGCAUAUUGCGAGUCGAUUACAACAUAAUUUUUAUAAUUCCACUGAAAAACGUAAAAGCAUAUAUCGUCAUACACUUUUGCCCCAACUCUAUUUUAUCUACCAAACGGGCCCUUAGUAUACCAAAUUCCGGGGACUAUGUCUGCCGGCAUAUUUGAUAAGAACAUUCGAGCACAAUUUAAAUAUAAAUUUUGGUUGUUUAUUCUCACUCACAAAAUACUCUAAUAACAAUCAAAAAGACAGAAAUGGAUUCUCUAAUAUGCUGGGGUGCUUUUAAUAGCACCAAAUACUAGCUUGUUAGAUUAUACUCCUUUGAAUAUUUUUACUCGUUAGAUUAUACUAUUCAACCAACCAUCAACUCAACUCUAGAAGAUCAUUAUCGUCCUAAUCACACAUUUUUUUGGUUCACGGACUGAAAAAUCUAAUAAUACUAAUGACUUGGCGUUAUUAGAAGCAGUUCAAUCUAAUUUUCUCUAAUAUAGUAAAGAUAUUUGAUUGGAUAUUAUUAUUCUUAUACAAAAUAUUAAAAAAGAUUGAG
rnacentral:lncRNA from 1 species